UACGGAGGGUGCAAGCGUUGUCCGGAUUUAUUGGGUUUAAAGGGUGCGUAGGCGGCCCUGUAAGUCAGUGGUGAAAUACUGCAGCUUAACUGUAGCAUUGCCAUUGAUACUGCAGGGCUUGAGUACAGAUGAGGUAGGCGGAAUUGAUGGUGUAGCGGUGAAAUGCAUAGAUACCAUCAAGAACACCGAUUGCGAAGGCAGCUUAC
rnacentral:rRNA from 1 species